rnacentral:rRNA from 1 species
CCAGACUCCUACGGGAGGCAGCAGUGGGGGAUAUUGGACAAUGGGGGAAACCCUGAUCCAGCGACGCCGCGUGAGUGAAGAAGUAUUUCGGUAUGUAAAGCUCUGUCAGCAGGGAAGAAAGAAAUGACGGUACCUGACCAAGAAGCCCCGGCUAACUACGUGCCAGCAGCCGCGGUAAUACGUAGGGGGCAAGCGUUAUCCGGAAUUACUGGGUGUAAAGGGAGCGUAGACGGUGAUGCAAGUCUGGAGUGAAAGGCGGGGGCCCAACCCCCGGACUGCUUUGGAAACUGUGUUGCUGGAGUGCUGGAGAGGCAAGCGGAAUUCCUAGUGUAGCGGUGAAAUGCGUAGAUAUUAGGAAGAACACCAGUGGCGAAGGCGGCUUGCUGGACAGUAACUGACGUUGAGGCUCGAAAGCGUGGGGAGCAAACAGGAUUAGAUACCCCUGUAUUG